rnacentral:rRNA from 1 species
CCUACGGGGGGCUGCAGUGAGGAAUAUUGGUCAAUGGGAGGAAUCCUGAACCAGCCAUGCCGCGUGAAGGACGAAGGCUCUGCGAGUUGUAAACUGCUUUUGUACCGGGGUAAAAUGCUCUACGAGUAGGCUUAUGAGAGUACGGUACGAAUACGGAUCGGCUAACUCCGUGCCAGCAGCCGCGGUAAUACGGAGGAUCCGAGCGUUAUCCGGAUUCAUUGGGUUUACAGGGUGCGCAGGCGGUUUUUUAAGUCAGCGGUCAAAUCGUGGGGCUCAACCCCAGCCAGCCGUUGAAACUGGGGGUCUAGAGUGGGCGAGAGGUAUGCGGAAUGCGUGGUGUAGCGGUGAAAUGCAUAGAUAUCGCGCAGAACCCCGAUUGCGAAGGCAGCAUACCGGUGCACAACUGACGCUCAGGCACGAAAGCGUGGGUAUCGAACAGGAUUAGAUACCCCGAUAGUC